UUCUAACUAAACUAAAGCGCUAAAUGAACACAUUCAACCGCAAGUUAUGUAAAAAUUUUGCUGCUUGCCGUCUUUUUAGCUCGUCGUUAUCGGAAUCAACAAGACCCGACCUAUUUGCCGGCGCGAGCUGUGUUCCCAAAGAACUAUCAAUAUUGAGUUUUGAGAGAAAAAAAUUUGCAGAUAAUAUUGAGAAGAAAGAAAUCUUCGUUGAGAAUCAGGCACCUAGAUAUAUUAUUUUUUUUAUAUCUUACACAUUUACAUACAUACACACCCCUCAGUACAUACAAGUCGUUUAGUCAAAAGUAUGGGACACGAAGGCUGAUUAAUUUAUUUACUUUUAAAAACGCAGAAAAAA